rnacentral:rRNA from 1 species
UUCGGGGGACAGGGUGACAGGUGGUGCAUGGUUGUCGUCAGCUCGUGUCGUGAGAUGUUGGGUUAAGUCCCGCAACGAGCGCAACCCUCGACCUUAGUUGCCAGCAUUCAGUUGGGCACUCUAAGGUGACUGCCGGCUAAAAGUCGGAGGAAGGUGGGGAUGACGUCAAAUCAUCAUGCCCCUUAUGACCUGGGCUACACACGUGCUACAAUGGGCGGUACAAAGGGUCGCGAACCCGCGAGGGGGAGCCAAUCCCAAAAAGCCGCUCUCAGUUCGGAUUGCAGGCUGCAACUCGCCUGCAUGAAGCCGGAAUCGCUAGUAAUCGCGGAUCAGCAUGCCGCGGUGAAUACGUUCCCGGGCCUU